UAUGUGAUCGUCUCUCGCAUAUCAAUAAGCGGAGGAAAAGAAACUAACAAGGAUUCCCCUAGUAACGGCGAGUGAAGCGGGAAGAGCUCAAAUUUGGAAUCUUAAAGGGUUUCCCUUUACGAAUUGUAGUUUAAAGAAGUGUUUUCUGUUGAGGUUUUGGUAAAAGUUCUUUGGAAUAGGACAUCAUAGAGGGUGAGAAUCCCGUAUUUGACCUUUACUUUCAACUUUGUGAUACACUUUCAAAGAGUCGGAUUGUUUGGGAAUGCAGUCCAAAAUGGGUGGUAAAUUUCAUCUAAAGCUAAAUAUUGGCGAGAGACCGAUAGCGAACAAGUACCGUGAGGGAAAGAUGAAAAGAACUUUGAAAAGAGAGUUAAACAGUACGUGAAAUUGUCAAAAGGGAAGCGUUUGACACCAGUGUUGUUUUUCUGAAAAUCAAUUAAAGAACUGUUUAUGCUAAGCUGUUUAGACUUUAUCAGCUAUCUGUUUAGUUUUAGGCUUUUCUUUAAUGCACUUUUCAGUUAACAAGUCAACAUCAAUUUCUUUUGCUGUAAAAAAGCUUGAGGAAGGUGGCUUGAGAUUCGUCUUAAGUGUUUAUAGCCUCUUGCCUAUGCAGUCGGAGAGAUUGAGGUCUGCAGCGUAGAUCCCUCGGGGCUAAAUGCAUUUGUGCUAAGUUAUAGCAUUUUAUAGACAACUUGUUGACUAUGAUUUGUCUUGUAGCUUACUCGCUUAUGUUAUUUUACCUACGCUUAGGAUGUUGAUCUACAGAGCGAGAGUAGAGCAUAUCAAUAAGCGGAGGAAAAGUAAAUGCUGUAUACCUACGCUUAGGAUGUUGACACACGCGCGUGCUCG
rnacentral:rRNA from 1 species